UAAGGUGACCAACUGUCCUGGUUUGUCUGGGACUGAGGAGUUUCCCGAGAUACAGGACUUCCUGAGCUAAAACAGGGAAAGUCCUAGGCAAACCGGGAUGGUUAGUCACCCUAUCAGGCA
rnacentral:pre_miRNA from 1 species